AUUGAACGCUGGCGGCAGGCCUAACACAUGCAAGUCGAGCGGAUGAGUGGAGCUUGCUCCAUGAUUCAGCGGCGGACGGGUGAGUAAUGCCUAGGAAUCUGCCUGGUAGUGGGGGACAACGUUUCGAAAGGAACGCUAAUACCGCAUACGUCCUACGGGAGAAAGUGGGGGGAUCUUCGGACCUCACGCUAUCAGAUGAGCCUAGGUCGGAUUAGCUAGUUGGUGAGGUAAAGGCUCACCAAGGCGACGAUCCGUAACUGGUCUGAGAGGAUGAUCAGUCACACUGGAACUGAGACACGGUCCAGACUCCUACGGGAGGCAGCAGUGGGGAAUAUUGGACAAUGGGCGAAAGCCUGAUCCAGCCAUGCCGCGUGUGUGAAGAAGGUCUUCGGAUUGUAAAGCACUUUAAGUUGGGAGGAAGGGCAGUAAGUUAAUACCUUGCUGUUUUGACGUUACCAACAGAAUAAGCACCGGCUAACUUCGUG
rnacentral:rRNA from 1 species